AGAAUCAACGCUGGCGGCGUGCCUAACACAUGCAAGUCGCACGAGAAAGGGGAGCAAUCCCUGAGUACAGUGGCGCACGGGUGAGUAACACGUGAAUAAUCUACCUCCGAGUGGGGAAUAAACUGAGAGAAAUCUUAGCUAAUACCGCAUAACACUUACGAGUCAAAGCAGCAAUGCGCUUGGAGAGGAGUUCGCGGCCGAUUAGUUAGUUGGCGGGGUAAUGGCCCACAAGACGAUGAUCGGUA
rnacentral:rRNA from 1 species